GGGUUUAUAGAGUAAAUUUUUUUUAAAGUUGUAUAUCAAAUACCUGAAGUAUGAUACAAAUUUCUGCUGUAUUCUGUCUUACUUUGUCUGCAGCUAACGGUAAGACUAGACGUAUUUAUAUGAGCUUGACAAAUCUCAAAGAUUAAAGAAAUCGUGAAUGCUUAGUCAAAAACAAUAUUGUAACGAUGCCACAGCCGAAAUAUUCGCCAGACAUGGUUCCCUUUGACUUUUUCCUAUUUCUCAAAAAAAGAGAAAGAGAGAGAGAAAGGGCUGUGGUUUUACAAGCAUAGAUGACAUUAAAAACGCGUCGUUGAAAGAGCUAAAGCCAAAAAUCGAGUUUGAGAAGUGUUUCGCCGAUUUGUCAGAAGCGCUGUCGCAGACAAAUGCAACGAUUAAUUCACAAAGGUCUGACCUCACUCGCCGCAUAGCCGAAUAAACUACACGCACACACACACACAUAGACUAAGCUACAUUUCAUCAACGCAAUGUUAACUUGGUGAAUGGUAAAGUGAACGGAAAGUGCAACGGCAUACUCGUAUAAUGAACAGAAAAUUUGUGUGCGCGGCAAACGCCCACACGUCAAAAGGGAAGCGGAAACACCCUCCAGCACCAGCGAGAGCAGCACUGCUGGUAGCAAAAGCAAAAGCAACAAAGCAGCAAUAAUAUUAAUGAUAUUCUACAACAAUAACAUCAUAUAUAUGAGCUGAUCAUCAGACUCCCCCGCCCCUCUAUAAACUGAAUUGGUCAGCACGCAAACGAAUGCGCAGAGGCCUUUAAACAUUUGUUGGCAACAUUAAGGCGACAGCAUAAAAUGUCGGAGGAAACAUACGGAAAGUAUAGCAAGGUGAUUGCCAGAAGAAGAAGAAGAAUGCAACCCUUAAUAUAGCCAGUUGAGUGGAAAAUGUCGAAGCACAAUUUAUCAAA